GAUGAACGCCGUCGGCGUGCCUAAUACAUGCAAGUCGAGCGAACAGAUAAGGAGCUUGCUCCUUUGACGUUAGCGGCGGACGGGUGAGUAACACGUGGGUAACCUACCUAUAAGACUGGGAUAACUUCGGGAAACCGGAGCUAAUACCGGAUAAUAUUUCGAACCGCAUGGUUCGAUAGUGAAAGAUGGUUUUGCUAUCACUUAUAGAUGGACCCGCGCCGUAUUAGCUAGUUGGUAAGGUAACGGCUUACCAAGGCGACGAUACGUAGCCGACCUGAGAGGGUGAUCGGCCACACUGGAACUGAGACACGGUCCAGACUCCUACGGGAGGCAGCAGUAGGGAAUCUUCCGCAAUGGGCGAAAGCCUGACGGAGCAACGCCGCGUGAGUGAUGAAGGUCUUCGGAUCGUAAAACUCUGUUAUUAGGGAAGAACAUACGUGUAAGUAACUGUGCACGUCUUGACGGUACCUAAUCAGAAAGCCACGGCUAACUACGUGCCAGCAGCCGCGGUAAUACGUAGGUGGCAAGCGUUAUCCGGAAUUAUUGGGCGUAAAGCGCGCGUAGGCGGUUUUUUAAGUCUGAUGUGAAAGCCCACGGCUCAACCGUGGAGGGUCAUUGGAAACUGGAAAACUUGAGUGCAGAAGAGGAAAGUGGAAUUCCAUGUGUAGCGGUGAAAUGCGCAGAGAUAUGGAGGAACACCAGUGGCGAAGGCGACUUUCUGGUCUGUAACUGACGCUGAUGUGCGAAAGCGUGGGGAUCAAACAGGAUUAGAUACCCUGGUAGUCCACGCCGUAAACGAUGAGUGCUAAGUGUUAGGGGGUUUCCGCCCCUUAGUGCUGCAGCUAACGCAUUAAGCACUCCGCCUGGGGAGUACGACCGCAAGGUUGAAACUCAAAGAAAUUGACGGGGACCCGCACAAGCGGUGGAGCAUGCGGUUUAAUUCGAAGCAACGCGAAGAACCUUACCAAAUCUUGACAUCCUUUGACAACUCUAGAGAUAGAGCUUUCCCCUUCGGGGGACAAAGUGACAGGUGGUGCAUGGUUGUCGUCAGCUCGUGUCGUGAGAUGUUGGGUUAAGUCCCGCAACGAGCGCAACCCUUAAGCUUAGUUGCCAUCAUUAAGUUGGGCACUCUAAGUUGACUGCCGGUGACAAACCGGAGGAAGGUGGGGAUGACGUCAAAUCAUCAUGCCCCUUAUGAUUUGGGCUACACACGUGCUACAAUGGACAAUACAAAGGGUAGCGAAACCGCGAGGUCAAGCAAAUCCCAUAAAGUUGUUCUCAGUUCGGAUUGUAGUCUGCAACUCGACUACAUGAAGCUGGAAUCGCUAGUAAUCGUAGAUCAGCAUGCUACGGUGAAUACGUUCCCGGGUCU
rnacentral:rRNA from 1 species